CUGUGCAGGCCUGCCGGCGCACCAACGCCAACCUCCACCCCGGCUCAUGCGCUAGCCCGGGACCAGCCUGCCGGCGCCUCCGACGGAUGGCAUGCGGAGGCCGCCAACCUCGCGCGCCAGAUCCAGCCCACUGCGCGUCGACGCCGCUCCCCCUGGGGGCGCCAGAUCCAACCCUCCGCGCAUCCGGUACGCGAGCACACAGCCCAGGCACACCUCCAACCCCGAGCAGCAGCGAUUGCCGUCGCGGCGCGCAGGCGCCGCCACCGGGCCAGCCUCGCGGACGCGCACCUAGCCGCAGGCCCGUUGCCUGAGUGGGCGGACGCCGCCACCGUGGGCUGGACGCGCGACAAGGCAGCAAGCACCCGCCCGACGCCUUCACCGCUAGAUGUGCGAGCAACCCGCCAGCUAGCUCCGGCGGCGGCAAGGCAAAGAGAUGGGGAGGGAGGGGAGUUGGCAGCCGCCCGAGACGCGAGGGGGCGAAGCCGGGGCCGACCACGCCGACGAGCAACUCACGGCGACCUUGGCGGCCGCGCCCGCCCAGAUCCGCCGGAGGGAGACGAAGAUGCCCCGCCGCCGCCCUCCCCGCAAGCAGCCGGACCUUCCGGCGGCCAGCUCAGGCAGCGGCGCGGCAGGGAGAGGCCCACGAAGGGGCGGCGACGGCUGCUAGGGAUUAUGGGGAGUGUCCGAGUCGCCCGACGCGGGGGCAACCAGGACGCGGCACUCAGCAGUACUGUUCCACUGCCCGAGCAACGGCAGCAGCACAAGCGGUUCUUGCACCACGAGAUCGAGCCAAUCGAGCUCUCGUUUUCGAGCGUCCAGCUAAUCUUGCUCACCGUCUUCUCUGCUCCGAGCUCUCCUCUCGUCACCGGUCGAGCAGCUGACGCGUCUGUGUGCUCUCCUACGAAACAGGACGCAGCUGGUGCGCGAGGCGAGGCGAUGGCCAACCUCAAAGACGCGUCUGUCUGCGUGGCGAUGGGCAUCGCCCACAUUCUCAAGCCGCUGCUUGACUUCCCCGACGGGGUCCGGCCGCGCGCUCAGCCCCGUCCUCGAAGCCGCCGUCGCUUUGCUCAUCACCUCGCUCCCGCCCUUAUACCUCAUAUGCAUCAUCCUCAUUGGCCCCGGCGCCGGCCGUGCUGGCGGCCCCCGGUGCGGCAAGGAGUACCGCAUGUCGUCCUGCUCCGUGUCCACGUAGCUCCUGCUACUGCCCCGUCGGUGGCGACUGCAGCACCAGCGCCCGCGCCCGCGCCGACAACAGCAGGUGGAUCGCCGUCGCCAGGUCCUGCAGCUCCGCCAGCCGCCAUGGCUGAUAACCACGACGCCGGCGCGGCCAUCCUCCUCAGGAUCCGGCAUGGCUGCCUAGGCCGAGGUCGGAGAGAUCAAAGACGGUGA
rnacentral:misc_RNA from 1 species